UACAACAGGAGAAAAAAUGACUAAAUAUUACAGAACUGUAUCCUCAGAUAAAAAGAUUUAUAUAACAUUUACAGGGGCUUCCUCUUCUUUGUCAUUCUCUGCAACUUCCUCCACUUCAAGUAAAUCUGGUAAGAUAAUCCGGAGAACACCAUGCCGACGCUUGUCCAUUGCUUUUCUGACAGUGGAUUGCCACUUAACACAGAAGAUACUACUAUGCUCACAAACUUGCGUGUUGUAGUGAUGGUUGUGUUGGUCAGAGAACCAAAUCGACUAAUGGUUAGGAAAAUGAAGUUCUGUCCCACAGCGCCGCACAGACAGUAAAGAAGAAUGUCCCAUGCUGCCUCUGGAUGCUGCUUACAGAACUGAACUGCCUCAUAGCCGCUG
rnacentral:misc_RNA from 1 species